CUACUUGUGGCAGCAUAUGUCUAUAUUCAUUAUAUCAAAUUCGAAUUCGGUUCUUGAGAAGGGUGUUGUUCUAAGGUCUGUCCAAGUGGCAGAAUCUACGUCAUAAUUUGUGGUAGAGGGGGCCUGCGUCCGUGCGGCCCCUAC
rnacentral:snRNA from 1 species